rnacentral:rRNA from 1 species
GUACACGCUGUGACUGCAUAUCAAUAAGCGGAGGAAAAGAAACUAACAAGGAUUCCCUUAGUAACGGCGAGUGAAGCGGGAAGAGCUCAAAUUUGAAAUCUUCAAGGUUUUACCUUGACGAAUUGUAGUUUAAAGAAGUGUUUUCUGCUGAAGUUUUGGUAAAAGUUCUUUGGAAUAGGACAUCACAGAGGGUGAGAAUCCCGUCUAUGAUUGCGAUUUGUAGCUUUGUGAUACACUUUCAAAGAGUCGGGUUGUUUGGGAAUGCAGCCCAAAACGGGAGGUAAAUUUCUUCUAAGGCUAAAUAUUGGCGAGAGACCGAUAGCGAACAAGUACCGUGAGGGAAAGAUGAAAAGAACUUUGAAAAGAGAGUUAAAUAGUACGUGAAAUUGUCAAAAGGGAAGCGUUUAACGCCAGUGUUGUUUUCUGAAAAUCAAACUCUGUUAGCUUUAUGCAUGUUUGUUUAGACCUAAUCAGCUAUCUUGCAUGUUCUAUUGUUUGCAGUGGUGCACUUUUCAGUUUACAGGUCAACAUCAGUUUUUUUUACCGUAAAAAAGUUAAAGAAAGGUAGCUCAUGGCUCCGGUCGUGAGUGUUAUAGUCUUUUUCCUAUGCGGUAGGAGAGACUGAGGUCUGCAGUGUAGGCUAUUUGGCUAGAUACUCAGGUGCUAUGUGAUACCAUUUCAUAAACAACUUGUUGAUUAUGUUUUGUCUAUUGCAUACUCGCUUGUACUAUCAUACCUACGCUUAGGAUGUUGAGUAGCGACAUACGCAC